CCCUAAUCCUACGAAAAGAAAAAAAAAUCUCCUAAUGUCACCUACGCCGCCGCACGAUCCUCCCCCGCUGACACGAUAUUAGCACCGGCACCACCGGCCGUCCUCUCGCUGCUCUUGCUAACGAGUUUCAGUCGUCGGUGUGGGAGGCCGUCAUGCUGUUGUGGAGGGCUCCAAGCGUACUGCCGCAGUAUUUAUACGACUACCCUCCCUGGUGAAUCCCGUACAGCCGUACUUGCCUCCAUGUGCAGGAAACUAAAGGUAAUUGAAUUAGAUGCAUUUGUUCUACUAUUUACUUCAAUUAAUCGCUUCCUUAAGCACACAUAUGGCUGCUGCGUGGUGAUGAAUUUAGUAUUUACGAAAAGCAUAUCAUGGGUAUGUCCACAAUGACCUCCCUGCAAUAUGCUGACUGGACCAUUGACUGAGCCGUCGGACAGGGCGGUGCGCAGCUCUACAUGCUGGAUGAAGGGACGGCCAUAUUUUGUCGCCUGCGCGCAUUGCCAGGCGAACGAGUUCAGAUCGAUCCUCCCUGUAUCGCCAUCUUUGCCAAAUCCUUUUCCACCAUGAUAUCCGCCGCUCGAUCCAGACACAACUCGCGUCCACGUGAUACUCACACCGCACCCAGCAAUCAAUCCUAUGGCAUUGGCCGUCCUGGCGCUCUUAUUGCCGAUUGGUUGCUUUCCAACUUAGCACUUGAUUGAUGUUCUAGACAGAUAUGCAAGUGACAAAAGUUUACUUGAUGGAUCCUCUCAAAGCGAUGGAACAUCUGUUGGUGCAAGCAGACUACACGUCAGAUGCCAGUCUCGCACGCAGUACGGACAUACGGUGUACUGCCCUUUGUGGAUUACGUCCUGUUGAGAUGCAGGUAUGUGAGCUAAAAAAUCAAUUGAUCUCGGCAAGAUGUGCAAGUGCACAAAGAUGGCUUGAUCUAUUUUCCACGGCUGCAGGCACACACGCACAUGAGAACAGCUGAGAGGUAUCUAAUCAAUUGGUAUACACAGUGGUACAUGCUUAGCUAGCUGUUCAUAUUUAGCUACUAAUCAUACUGACACUGUAACCGGCCGUCUCUAAUCAAUUGGUAUAUACAGUGGUAGAUGCCUUUCUCUUAAUGAAAUGAAAUCAAUGCUGGCUGUUUUCCUUCAAAAGAAACAGUGGUGCAUGCACGCUGAGGUAUAAAUUCGCCAUGUCGUUCCGAGGAGGAUUCUCCCAUCCGCAAGAACGGACCAGCAAAAAUCUCAAUCGACCAUACUUAUAGUGAGAACCGGCACACACAAGCGAGAACACAAGCACAUGGAAAGCCAUGCCCCUGAUCUCCAUGUUAAUGCCCAGCCAUGGCUCAGAUUGAAAGAGGAAAGAUUCAUUUGUUGUACUAGAUGCAAUCGCCGGUGUGGGAGGCCGUCAUGCUGUUGUGGAGGGCUUCAAGGUUAGGUUCAAAGUAAUCAAGGAAGAAUGAGUGCUGCCAAGAGCUUCAGCGAGAUUGAUGCAUUGCCUUGCAUGUGGUUUUCCACUAAUUUCUCCUCUUUAAGAUACAUAUAUGUUGAUACGAUUUCUUUUGUAUUUCUUUUUUAUCCUACAAAAAGGAGCCUGCAAAUCGGUUCCUUAGAUAUUAUACUGAGUAAGUGUUAGGUAAUAGUUCAAAUAUUUGUAUUCUACUUUCACAGAAAAUAAUGAGAAAAUCAAUGCCAAAGGACGUUUCAAAUGCGGCGGCUGCGGUGUUGAAAAUAAUGAGAAAGUAAUCGGGUAUGCUCCCAUGUGGCACCACGUCAUGAAACUUUUUAGGGAUGCAUUCUAAGCAAAUAUUUUAAAAAGAAAUUCUAGCUAUCUUUCAGUAGAGGGCUCUUGCUUGGUUCUGGCAGGAACGAUCUGAUUGGUGUCAUACAAUGUGCAAGUGUACAUAUUGUACACAUUUUUCUCUUUAAUUUAGUAACUUUUGCAUUACGCAGGAAUGAGUUGUUGAAUGUGUUCUUAUGAUUCUUGCAAUAGUGGAAUAAAUAUUCAUAAUUCUUACAUGCACGCCCAUGUAAAGAUUUAUUAUUCAGCCUUUAGGUGUACAUUGAAUUAUUUGUGUGUGCAUUCUAAAAUAAUUGUUAUUAUAUGCCUUUUUACCUACCAUUUUAUGGCUUAUAUUUCUAAAGGGUAUUACACAGAAGAUUCCCUAAUUUAGUUUCUCAAAAUCAUAUUUAACUAAGUGUUUUUUUUCAGGUGAAUACAUAUCUUUGGAGGAUUCUCGAUCAAGAAGUGAGGUUGCUCAACUGAUUUCUUACGUAAGCAUAACCAUGCAAAUUUAGUGUAAGUUGUUUAAAUUUAAAAAUAGUACAGAUUUAAUUAUUGUUUCAUUAUUCUGAUGCUUAAGAAAGUUAGACUAUUAGUACACAAAACUUUAUUUCUAAUGUGGCAUGUGUGAUCUUUUCCUUUUGUUUUGAAAUAGUUAUGUGCGGUAAUUCAUUCUGAAAGAUAAGAGCAGGCUUAUCUGCCAUUAUAGAGGGCAUCCAGCUUAAAAUAAAUUGUUUAAAUGUGAGAUUACAUUUUAAAUUCAUUAUGAAAGACUUGAACAAACCAGUAUCAAUGAGUCUACUACAGAGUUGUUCGAGUAAAUAGUUUUAUGGCACUGUCAAUGAUUCUACUGCAGUGCUAUUCCAGCACAGGAGUGAGAGGGUGAUGAUUUCUUACUUCUAUUACUGAACAUGUAAUGUGGCUUUGCUAAAUGUUUAUAUCGUUCGGUAUGUGCGAUGUGUGUGCAAGGCAUCGACUAAUAUAGUAGCAUCAUUGAAAACAGCUCCGAGACACAAGCUAGGCAUGGUAUAUUGAACUUGAAAAGUGAUCCAUGACAGAUGGCGUAGGGACUCUGCUCUUGGCCUCUUAGUUGACACAGAGAACGCAUGUGUAAUAAGGAAGUACAUGCCGAAACCAGUAUGCACAAGGCCUUCAACCUUGAUGUAUACAUGUGAAUACAUUGUUGUGACUUGGAAAAGUUCAUGCUUGCUUCCGAAUAUUUUGUCAUAUGGUGGUCUUCU